rnacentral:rRNA from 1 species
UACGUAGGGGGCAAGCGUUGUCCGGAAUUAUUGGGCGUAAAGAGCGCGUAGGCGGUCCGGUAAGUCGGUUGUGAAAGUCGGGGGCUCAACCCUCGGAUGCCGAUCGAUACUGUCGGGCUAGAGUCCGGAAGAGGCGAGUGGAAUUCCUGGUGUAGCGGUGAAAUGCGCAGAUAUCAGGAAGAACACCAAUUGCGAAGGCAGCUCGCUGGGACGUAACUGACGCUGAGACGCGAAAGCGUGGGGAGCAAACAGG